rnacentral:lncRNA from 1 species
GGGGGUUCUGCACGGAUUCACUUCCCUGCCCUUGUGCUAAUGUUUGCUGGCUCAGGGCCGAAUGCACAUGCUUAACUUUACGUGCAUUAGUCAUGCCAUUGAACUCAAAUGGGGGAGGUGACCUUAUGAAAUAGCUACAUCGGGAAUGUACAAUGCAUUAUUCUUACGGCAGUUCAGAAAACACAGGCAACAAACAUAUCUUGCACUGCAGCCUGACACAACCUGAAAGACACAGCCAAGGGGUAAGAAACUUUAAUCUAAGAUAAAGGCAAAUUAGUAUGGUGAAGGAUUAGCAGCUCCUACAAGCGCAACGCAGUUCUUGGAUGUGAUUCAUUUUGUAAGGUAAAAAAGAAAAGCCAGCAAGCAGUAUGUUUUCAAAACGAUUAGCAAAACUCUUCUGAGAAAUGUUUUUUACACAAACGUGCUGUUGUAGUUUAUAUACCUACAUAAUUCUAAAAUGCAAAACAAAUUUACUUAACUUCAGAGAAUGACAAUACCUGGAGGAUAUAGAUAGUGGAUGUCUUUUCCUACACUACACUUACAUAUCUUUGAAAUUUGAAAAAUGUUUUACCUAGCUUCAUUGAAUGUCUGGAGGUUAUGAAUGGUACCAUCUUGAAGUCAUAAAUGAUAACUGUCUUUCCGUCUCUCUUUUCUUUAGACAGUCUCAACUUUGUUACAAGUUCAGAAUAGCAAUUUUUGCUAACCACAGUCAUAGAAUCAUAGAAUCAUAGAACAGUUAGGGUUGGAAAGGACCUUAAGAUCAUCUAGUUCCAACCCCCCUGCCAUAAAAUAGUUCGUAAAUGUAAAUAGUUCAUAAAUAGUUCAUAAGUAGUCAUAAAACAGUUCAACACUGCUUGUAUCAGAAGUGUAUUUUUUACCCAGUCAUGCAAACAAUACAAUUAUUAUUUUAAGACAAUAUUCAUGUGUAAUGCUACAUGCCUUAGUAAUUUUAUGUAAUGAAGACUGGAAAAGUUGUACUCACAUCACUUAGACUAAUCCAAACCCUAACCAGAAUAUUUAUCAAGCCUAAAUUUUCCUGUGUAUUUACAUCUCUGUAAUAUGUCUUUCUAAUGUUCAAUGAGCCACCAUUAAGAGCAGUAUUUUUGAUUCUGCAUAUGCAGAUUCAGUAUAUGUCAUUGGAGCUAUUCUAACUAACUGGAGCAGUUUUAAGGAAAUGACCUCAGAAAGGGGAAAAUUAAAAAUACAUGAGGAAAAAGGAUGCUGUUCCAUCUACAAAGUAGGGAAGAACAAUCUAUACUACUUAAAUAUGCAAUUCCAUGCUUUCCUGUGUUAAAAAUGCUGCAAUGGACCGAAAGCAACAAGUGCUUUCCUAUAUGAAAUUGCUACUCAUGUACAAAUUGUAUCCAGUACACCAGAAGUAUAGAUAUUAAUCAUUCUUAGCUCUCCUGUGUCAGUUUUUCAGUUUACUUCUAAAAACUUUUUUCCAGAGAAAGAUAUUAUUCUUGCUUUCUAGCAGAUGAGGAAAUCAAAACGUGAUUUUUCCAAAUCACAGAAAACCCAAAACUUUCUGUACCAGACCUCAUGGCUCCCUGUAUAAAGACUUGCAUCAUACAGUGGUAGGACAAAGGGGAAUGGGUUCAAACUUAAACAGGGGAGAUUGAGAUGAGCUCUCAGGCAGAAGUUCUUCCCUGUGAGGGUGGUGAGGCCCUGGCACAGGUUGCCCAGAGAAGCUGUGGCUGCCUCAUCCCUGGCAGUGUUCAAGGCCAGGUUGGACAGGGCCUGGAGCAACCUGGUCUAGUGGAAGGUGUUCCUGCCCAUGGCAGGGGUUUGGAACUGGGUGAGUUUUAAGGUCCCUUCCAGCCCAACCUGUCUGGGAUUCUAUGAUUCUAUACCUGAGUAUUUUGCAUUGAAACACCAAAGCUUGUUUGCAGGUGCAUUUCAGCAGCCUGCUUCCUUCUUUUAUUUACUUGUAUGUUAUUUUUAUGUCUUGAUGCAAUUCUGCUUUAUGUGUAUGGGAUGGACGCAGUCAGAUUUGGAAAGAAAUUUUGGUGCCAUCACAUGGAUGUGCUACUGGAAGCUGGGUGCCCGCACGUCUGAACCAGUCUCCAUCCGUUUUUCCCAGUUCUGCAUGGGCUGCCUGCAAGACAACAGCAUCUUUAGGUCUAGUGCAACGGUCAGAUAAGACUUGUGUGGGUCUCUGGAUACUUAUCCUAGUGAGAGGGGAACUAAAUAUUGUACCAGUGGCUUGAUCUGCCCUGUCCUGGCUGCCCAAAGUUGUGAGUCAGCCACCAUCCUAUGUGUGAUGCUCUCUAGUGAUAGAGCAAUAAGACAAUUUCAGACAAAAAUAAGGCUGCAAACUAUCACCUGGGCCAUGGAAAUGAUCAAGGAAGUCCAAACUUAAGUAUGAACUCAAGACAAAAUGGGACAGUUUCAGUGUGGCACAGAAUAUCGACAGUGCACUAUCCAUGCACUCAAAAAAGAGUUUAUUCUGGUCUCUUUGGAUAGAUACAGGUAGUUUUAGUAAAACUACCUGUUUUUCAGAUGGUAAAACUGUACCAAGCCCUGUACAGAAAAUAUCUGAGCUAAACAGAUGGUGCUUAGUCCUGCAAAAUUAUCUUACAAAUGGCUUGUGCUCUAAGCUGAUUUUAUGCAUAGCAAAUACAUUUCUAAACGAGAUUUCCUGCAUGAACCUCCACUAACAGCAAUACCUAUUACAUAAUGCCUUAAAACGGUAUACCUACUUGGAGGUAAUAAGCCUCACAAUCAGUCACUAUGGCAAAGAGUAAAUUGUCUUUUAUUCCCUUUUCAGAGGCAUAAAGGAAUACACAGAAGAAAAGAGUUUACUUCAGUUCAAGUGCAAGAUAUUAUCUUCUACUGGGGCUAAAAAUAAGAGGUUUUUCCAGUGUUGAUCUUGUUUACGGUGCUUCAUAUUGCUACUUCACUUGUCUUUUUAGUUCAAUAUAUAUGAAUUCAUUAAGACAAGAAUGUUAAUCAGCAAAAUAUCCAAAACAUUUUUGCAUUACUAUUUCUGUGUCAUUCUACCUGUAAAUAUAUUAUCCAUCUUCUCUUGAUUGAUGAGUUCCCAUCUGCAUGAGUGUAUGGCACAUGGAAUUGAAGAGAGAAGGUUUUGUCAUUUCAAGUUGUACUUAAAGUAGAAAAAUGAACAUGCUUUACAGGAAAUGUCUUUUUCUAAAAGACUUAAUAAUUCUGUGUUUCAGAGCAGCACAUAUGGCUAGUGACCUCUCUUCCCAAGGAGAAUGGCUGAGAUGUCUGUUUGGAAUUAUUCCUGGAAUUAGACCAGCAUGAAGUCUCCUUUACCAAUCUCAGUGAUGUACAAUACCUACAGGAGCAGCUGCUUCCAACUUUUUUUUUUUCUCUGGCCUAACGAAUCUGGAGUAUUUCUUUACAAGUUGAUCAGGACUGAGGAGUGAGUGCCCUCAUUUAGGAGCUGCCCAUUCCUGGUGAUGGGGGCUAAUUCUGGCUUUCUCUGCAGAGAUAAGACUUAAAGGCAGCCAAUAAUGACAGAAAAAAAAUCAUGUCAUGAAUUGGAUUAUGUAUGGCAAAGAUGAAAAGGCAAGCCCUUCUCCUUGCAUGAAAACCUUGGAAAGCUGUAAAUUUGGGAGUUCUGUUGAAAGUCAAUAUAGCAAAACUUUCACUGGAAGAGAAUUGUACAGUCAAGUUUUUGAAGGUUUGGAAGUUUAAGAAGCCUUGGAUGCCAUUCUGAUACUGUCGCAUACUGUUUUUCUCACUUAUUCAAUCAUCAGAGUUUGAAGAUCCACUGAAAUCAGUGAAUAAAGCUGGACGAAUCACCCUUAAACAUCAAAAUACACUUGGUGGAAUAGAAGAGCACCCAGAAAGUAAUAACACACUUAUGGGAUCCAGCCUCUUUGUUUCAAGAUGUGGAGGCAAGCAGGAACCCUUGGAAUUGAAGGCUGUCUGCCCAUGUUGAGCCUGAUCUAUCAAAUUCAGUAUUUUAUAAUAUCACCUCAUUAAGAUCCAUAUAUGCUCAGACAUACAGCAGAUAAUUCACUUGUUAUAAAUAAACAGGUACUUCUUAAUUGUUACCUACCACUAGUGUGUUUGCUUAAACUGUUAUCAAAAGAAAACCUGAAUAUAUUAUUAAAGGACAAGAUUUUUG